GGCUGGGGGCGGGGCUCCGCGCCUCUCCGCAGGCGCCAACUCUGGCGCUGGGGGGCGCGGUUGCGAGGCCCUGCAGAAGGUUGGACAAAGGUCCGAACGCGGAGCGGGGAGGCAAGUCCCGGGCGUCUCCCCACCUCCCAGCUCCAUCCCGGACCCCAAACCAGAGGGGCGAGGGCACGUUUGUUUUUCCAAUACGAGGGAACAGACGGAUUAUGAAGAAGCGGGCCAACCUCACGUUAAUCUUUGCGCCGAGUCUGGAGGACGUGCUCCUUUCUGACAGCCUACUUUGUCAUCGCUGCUCCCAGUCACAGCUGAAUCUGUCAACAUGACGGCUUCACCUACUCGCCAUGCACAGCCUAGAGCUGCAAAUCCCGGUUGGAGUAGAUAAAUCCCCUGCCUCUUCGAUGGAGCUGUGGAUUUCAGGUGUUGCUUUAUGUGCUCCAGUCAAUUUGCAUGAAGCUAGUACAAGAAAGGAACCACAUCACUUACGUCUGUGAACUUUCUGGAACAAAAAUCUGGCACAUCAGUCGGUUACUUUAUCCAUUACAAUGGGAAGCAAUGCCAUAAGCAACUCUAUGGAGGGGCCCAAGUGGAGAGGAAUUGAAGCCACUGGCCAGCAGCCACGUGAAUGAGUUUGGAAGCAGGUCCUUCAGCCCUCACCAAACCUUCGGAUGAGGCUGCAGCCCUGGUCGACAUAAUGACUGCAGUCUCAUGAUGGACUCUGAGUGGGACCACCCUGAGUAAUUCCUGACUCUCUGAAACUGUGUGAGAUAACAAAUGUUUGUUGUUUUAAGCUGCUAAGUCUUGGAAUAAUGGUUAUAUAUAUAGAAAUAUAAUUAACACAACUUCCAUAUC